AUUUUACAGCUUUGAUAAACAAAAAAUGUACAUACAAGGAAUGUGCAGAGGGUUACAGUAAAGAGUUGUAUAAAUACAGAAAACUAUUUUUCUCUCUUUGAGGUGCUGAUUAUAGGAUGUAGUAUUUGGUCUAUUGGUACAUUUGUGCACUAUUUUUGUUUUAUUUCUGUGUCCAUAUAGUUGUAAGCAUGCUUAUCCUCAUUUGUCUUAAUUGUUUAUUUUUUAACAUUGUUUCUGUAUUCUUAUAGGCAACUGUAGGUAACUGUAUCUUUAAAUUGAUAUGUUUAUUGAUUUUCACUUAAGAUGUAUUCUCUAAUUAUAUGUAUUAAUUAUCCUAAAUAUUGAGAUGUGUGCUUUUAUCAUCUACUUAGUGUAGAUUCUGUGAGAAAAGAAAUAGCUCGUUCUGCCCCACAGAGCACAUAAAGAUUGUUCAUCAGGCAGUAUCAGAAAUUUAUUCCAAGUAGUGUGCAUGGCUUGCAAAGAAGAAGCAGAUACAGAGUUAGUAUGAGUUAGCUGUCACUAUUUGUGAAAUGAGUGUUAUUUUUCCUGUAACUUUCAAUGAGAUACUUAGAAGCUCAGGAAUGCAAACACUGGAGAUCAAGGAUUCCACUUAAAUGGUAAAAGCUUAGAUGACAUAACAAAUAAACUUAAGACAUUUUUCAAAAUUCUGAUGGGUUUUGAUCUUUUAUCUUGGGUUAUCAUGGUAAUAAAACUCUGUAUAUUAAAUUGCAAAUAGAUGUACAAUUUGGAAGUGGCUGAAAUUUUGGUAAUCCCAGUGACACCUUAAGUAAUCAGCCCUACUAUUUGACCAAUCCAUUCUGGAGUUUAAACAAUACCAUGGCAUCUGAAUGAGUGAUCAUGAAAAUGAACUGGUUAAGGAUGCUGUUGACAUGCAUUUUGUAAGCAAUAACAUGUUUACUUCUGCAAAUAAUUUCUUUUAAAGUAACUAAUUAAUGGGCUGAAAAGUCAAAAUCUGGAGGGAGCCUUGUUAACUGGAAAAAAGCUCUUCCAUCUCUGAUGAUUAUCAUGGGGAGUUCCCCACUUCUGUGAAGUGUCUUCCUUAACUUUUGAACCAUGAAAUAUAGUGCAGAGGAAAAGCAGAAACCAAUGACAGGAAUGCAAGACAUCUUGACAAAUGUA